rnacentral:rRNA from 1 species
GGAUGCGAUCAUACCAUCACUAAAGCACCGGAUCCCAUCAGAACUCCGAAGUUAAGCGUGCUUGGGCUAGAGUAGUACUAGGAUGGGUGACCUCCUGGGAAGUCCUCGUGUUUUAUUCU